GGGUCGCAUCACUGGAGUCAGAGUUUAUGAAUAUCCAAACUAUGGAUACUACUCCAACAACUACCUCAAUGGGAUCCAGCUGCAAUAUAACAGUAACUGGACAGAACUGGUUGGUGUGAACGUUUAUGGCAAUGAAAAGGAGAUGACACUCUUUCAACAAUGAACAUUUUGUUCAGAUCUCAGGAAAGUAUUAUUCUGGUUACAUCAGUGAGCUUAUGUUUGUCACUAACGAGGGGCGCUCUUUUAAAGUGGGGCAGCCUUACGGAAUUUCAUUCAACUUCUACCCAACCCACGAUGGAAGUGAACUACGUUUCAUCAGCGGUCGUCAGAAUGGAUUUGCCCUCACCUCCAUUGGGGCUCAUUGGGCUGUCUACUACAAUUCCACUUCAUAAAGUCAGAAAUAUCUCACAGGCUGCACAUUAUGUGUGUAUGUGAGGAAAAGGCCAGUUAACAAGUAACAUGUUUUUCUUGAGCUCUUUAUGAUGGAUGAAAUUUUGGUACCUUUUUGAGCUGUCAGCUUUAUUAGAAUGAUUUCUGGUUAAUAAUUUACUGAUCAAUUAAUUAAACACUAAGAAGACUGGAAUCAAAUUGUUUUACUUCUAAUGAUGCUUUAAGGGCUUCUCCUUUAACACAACAAUUCCUAAAGGCCCUUGUAACAAUGAUUUAAAAUUUUUAUUACACAGAGGCUGAUUUUUAUUCAAGGUAACGAUUAAACUUGAAGUGUUGAAGUUUAUUUUAAUUAAAACAACUGAUAAACAUUUAUAUGAAGAUCACAAUAAAACUGCCUUAUUAAAACA